GAGUGAGACUUUCUAAAGAUUCAGAAACGGUUCGAGAGGUGUGUCGAUACUCCCGCUUCGAUGCCCCACCGUGCUGAGAGCGGCGUGGCUUCCUGCAUUUGGUGUUUAUCGUCUGUUCGUGAAGUGGUGGCGGUCUAGUGACGGGUACGUGUGUGGAUCCACGAAGAGACAUGCCCGCGCCUAACUAACCGGUCCUCCACGCCCAUCAUUGCCCCGGUCUUCCCGCGGCGUCACAAAUCAGACCGGAAGACCCCGCAAUGCCCCACCACGCUGCGCCGCGCCUCCCGAGUUGAGCCCAGGCACUUCCCACGUCAGCGGUGAGUCAUGCACGCCUCCAUUGCUCCGGUCUACCCUCUGCUUCCUGGCACCGUGGCCCUGCGUGCGGCGAUGAGGUUUUCCCUAGGAGGAUGCUGGGAGGGAGGCUGACACGAGGGCUGUGUGGUCUGCAAAUAAAACUCAAGGACUUCCCAUUAAAAAGUGACUAGCUUCAAUAAGUACUUGAGACUUCCAGUGGGGCAAGAAGUUGGCAAACCCUUCAGCAUGCCUGAAAGGAAAACUUGGUCCUGAAUGUGAGUAACACUCAUACCAUUGUAACACCAUUUAUCAUCAUUUCAUCGACGCCUGCUCCUAGGAACUACACCAGGGGAUGGCCACGACAUAAGAGUUUCCAACUUUCUCUAUCCAGACACUCCUUCCUUGCCUGCUUAAAGUUUCUCAAGGAUCUUUUCCCCCCUCUCCCUAACGUAGUCUUGCACCCUCUCUCUCCAUUUCACUGGAGGUCGUCCUCUAACAUUCCCUCCCUCUAUCUCACUUGCAUACAUAAAGUCUGUCGCUUCACCUCUUCCACCACUCCACACUUCUUCCUUUCACCCU